AGCUAGCCCUGAUUGGAGCGGCAUACUUUUUUACAGCACUACCUUCAAAUUGCUGUCAUGCUGAGGAACGAAGCAUCUGUUUCAUCGGGGUGAGAUGCUUCGUGCCUCAGCAUGACAUGAACAAUAAAAAAGAUAUAGCGCAAAGCAGGACGAACA
rnacentral:sRNA from 1 species